rnacentral:tRNA from 1 species
GGAAGUGUUGAGCAAUUGGCUGGCUCGUUAGAUUGUAAAUCUGGUCUCUUGGGAGCGUGUAGGUUCGAGCCCUACUACUUCCACCA